AGAGAGUGUAAAUAAUCUACCAGAUAACAUAAAUGAAGUUUAUUGCAUCAUUUGUGAUAUAACUUUUCCUACACAUAUAUUCAGUGUUAAUAUAUUCUUAUACUUUACAUUAAAGGAGAACACGUUGAAGAAUGAGCGGAAAAGUUUCGGAUCCUAGCUUAUGGGUUGCGUUGGAUGAUUUUUGUUGUCCUGCAAAAGGAUGCCGAUCAAAAAAUUCUUCUCAAUGGGUAUGUGCGAAAGAUAAGAAACCUGUAUACAUGAAUGCGCUUGGCCAGAUACAAUGUGAAGGUGGUAAACAUAGAGAUGACAUAUGCAAAUGGGGAUGGAAAUGUGGGAGAAGUUUCCAUAAGGGCGAGUAUAUAAGAGCGGACCAAGAAAGCUUUGUAUUCGCCAUGUCACAGGCCUUACAACUUUAAAAAAAGCGAGUGUAGACUGGAUAUCGACUUUGUUACGCUAUUUGGAAAAGCUAUUUAAUGAAAUCACAGAGUCUGACGUCGUAGAGUUGACAUGAAAAAGUCAGGUAAGGAUUGUAUGAAUACAAAUUGAUCACAUAGCACAACGGCAUAUAAUAUGAUCAAAACUGUUUUAUAAAUAAAUAUUCUGUCAAAAUGAAUAUGACUUUCCAGCAUUAAAAGCGAUAUGUCAGCAGUUUCGUGCAGUCGAAUGUUUGUUUUAUACGAUUUUGCGUAAUGUUACUUGUGUAAUCCAAUUGCAUAGUGAAUCAUUUUUU